GUGAACGCUGGCGGUAGGCCUAACACAUGCAAGUCGAACGGCAGCACAGUAAGAGCUUGCUCUUACGGGUGGCGAGUGGCGGACGGGUGAGGAAUACAUCGGAAUCUACUUUUUCGUGGGGGAUAACGUAGGGAAACUUACGCUAAUACCGCAUACGACCUACGGGUGAAAGCAGGGGAUCUUCGGACCUUGCGCGAUUGAAUGAGCCGAUGUCGGAUUAGCUAGUUGGCGGGGUAAAGGCCCACCAAGGCGACGAUCCGUAGGUGAACUGAGAGGAUGAUCCGCCACACUGGAACUGAGACACGGUCCAGACUCCUACGGGAGGCAGCAGUGGGGAAUAUUGGACAAUGGGCGCAAGCCUGAUCCAGCCAUACCGCGUGGGUGAAGAAGGCCUUCGGGUUGUAAAGCCCUUUUGUUGGGAAAGAAAAGCAGCAGGUUAAUACCCCGCUGUUCUGACGGUACCCAAAGAAUAAGCACCGGCUAACUUCGUG
rnacentral:rRNA from 1 species